rnacentral:rRNA from 1 species
CCUACGGGAGACAGCAGUGGGGAAUAUUGGUCAAUGGACGCAAGUCUGAACCAGCCACGCCGCGUGCAGGAAGACGGCUCUAUGGGUUGUAAACUGCUUUUGUACGAGGGUAAACUCAGAUACGCGUAUCUCUUUGUAUGUACCUUACGAAUAAGGAUCGGCUAACUCCGUGCCAGCAGCCGCGGUAAUACGGAGGAUUCGAGCGUUAUCCGGAUUUAUUGGGUUUAAAGGGAGCGUAGGCGGGCGGAUAAGUUAGUUGUGAAAUCCCGAGGCUCAACCUGGGAAUUGCAUUUGAUACUGUUAGGCUAGAGUGUAGUUGCGGUAGGCGGAAUUCGUGGUGUAGCGGUGAAAUGCGUAGAUAUCAUGCAGAACACCGAUUGCGAAGGCAGCUUACCAAACUACAACUGACGGUGAGGCGCGAAAGCGUGGGGAGCAAACAGGAUUAGAUACCCCGGUAGUC